rnacentral:rRNA from 1 species
UACGGGGGGGGCAAGCGUUGUUCGGAAUUACUGGGGCGUAAAGGGCUCGUAGGCGGCCAACUAAGUCACACGAUGAAAUCCCCGUCGGCCGUCAACCGGGGAACUGCGUGUGAGACUGGAUGGCUUGAGUUUGGGAGAGGAUGCGGAAUUCCAGGUGUAGCGGUGAAAUGCGUAGAUAUCUGGAGGAACACCGGUGGCGAAGGCGGCAUUCUGGGACCAAUACUGACGCUGAGGAGCGAAAAGCCAGGGGAGCAAAGCGGG